GGCAGCAAUGAAAUGGGCAAGUCAUUAAGGAGGAGAGGUUGGGGGGGGGGGAGGUGGAUCCAGCUAGUGGUAACAGUAAAUGGCAUUUUCAAGGCAACAAGAACUCAUCGACAGUUGGUCAUCAAAGUGUUCUCCGACCAGUUAUAGCUUCAAGAGUUAAGCUGAUUCCAUUAGAAUGGCACAAAAACUUUGGUCUGGCAUGGAACUAUCCGAGUGUGAAGCAGAUGAAUCGAAGCCUGUACGAUUACCAUACUAAUUUCCAGGGAAAAUGUUAGACACAUUAAAAAUAUUGUUUCCAUUUGCUGCAAGUCAUCGGCUUAACUUGCGAUUAAUAUUGAAGCGAUUAAAUAGCUCUUGGAAUGCUCACAGGCGAUCUUUUGCUUUUUAUAUAAUGUGCACCCUAUUUCCUCGGUUCGAUGAAGCACUUAUCCAUAUUUUUCUCUUAGUUGAGGCGCUUAAUAGUGUUAAGUGCAUAAAGGGGAAGCGCUUAUUCGAACAAUUGCGAUACUUACUAUUCAUUAUUAUCUUGAUUUGUUAAUUGAUAGACCGUUAUAUGGACGCCUGGCUUCUCUACAAAGACACAAUUUUUCGCAGAGCUUACUCGACUCAAAGCACUGCACAAUACCAAACAAUCGCAAAUAGCACCGAGGAAAUGGUUUGUUUAAUAACCCAUAUUUCCUUUAUCUAAAA